rnacentral:rRNA from 1 species
AGUGACAGCUGUCGAAAGGUAUGGUUUCUUCGGACACUCUUCAAGGUGCUGCAUGGUUGUCGUCAGCUCGUGCCGUGAGGUGUCGGGUUAAGUCCCAUAACGAGCGCAACCCUUACCGUUAGUUACCAUCAGGUUAAGCUGGGGACUCUAGCGGGACUGCCACCGUAAGGUGAGAGGAAGGUGGGGGAUGACGUCAAAUCAGCACGGCCCUUAUGUCCAGGGCUACACACGUGUUACAAUGGCCGGUACAAAGGGCAGCUACUUCGCGAGAAGAUGCUAAUCUCGAAAGCCGGUCUCAGUUCGGAUCGAAGUCUGCAACCCGACUUCGUGAAGCUGGAUUCGCUAGUAAUCGCGCAUCAGCCAUGGCGCGGUGAAUACGUUCCCGGGCCUU